GACGAACGCUGGCGGCGUGCUUAACACAUGCAAGUCGAACGGAAAGGCCCCUUUGGGGGUACUCGAGUGGCGAACGGGUGAGUAACACGUGAGUAACCCGCCCUUGACUUCGGGAUAACUUCAGGAAACUGGGGCUAAUACCGGAUAGGAAUCCUUGCUGCAUGGUGGGGGUUGGAAAGCUUCGGCGGUUUUGGAUGGACUCGCGGCUUAUCAGCUUGUUGGUGGGGUAGUGGCUUACCAAGGCUUUGACGGGUAGCCGGCCUGAGAGGGCGACCGGCCACAUUGGGACUGAGAUACGGCCCAGACUCCUACGGGAGGCAGCAGUGGGGAAUAUUGCACAAUGGGCGGAAGCCUGAUGCAGCAACGCCGCGGGCGGGAUGACGGCCUUCGGGUUGUAAACCGCUUUCAGCAGGGGCGAAGCUUGUGGUGACGGUACCUGCAGAAGAAGCACCGGCUAACUACGUG
rnacentral:rRNA from 1 species